ensembl:lncRNA
CCGGGGACAUGGGUGGUGCUGAAAAGCUGCGAGGAAGAGCCCUUCAAUUUUACCAUGCCACCAAUCAGAGGUAAAAACAACAGCGCUACUGGAGACUACUUGGAGCAACAAUAUGCACUUAUAUCUGAAAAAAGAGACACGUUUCCCAAACACAAACAGACGGAUGAAUGUAAAAAGUUAUCUUCUGCAUGUGUUCAAGAUGAUGAAAUGCUCUGUUUUACCUGCCACGCUAUGCUAAGGUCAUUUCAAAAUUGUGGAGACAAGGAGCUGUCCUACUAUGAGCCAAAUGGCACAGUCUACUCACCUAUCAACAACAUGGGCAUCAAGCUGCUGACAGUGCAACAAACGCACACCUCGUUGGACGCCUUGCGGAGGAACCAGCGACUCAGAAGCAGCGCUGUCAUCAGGAGGCACCCACGAGCCAAUAAGAGUGCCACCUUAGGGGACAUCUCCCUGUCAACAUUCAAAAACAACGUGGUGUGGUGUAACGGCUAUCGAGAGACUUCUUCCAUGCAGGCCACCGCUCUCCCUGAUGUUCCCAGUUCUUCAUCCAAGAAAGGAAACAAUAAGGCUAAUCCUUUUAUGGUCAAAGGGUUGAGAAGGCUCCCUCCAAGUCAGAAUGGGACCAGGCCUGGCCGCUUCUUUCCCGAGUCAUUUCCUCCCAGUGGGAGAUCCAUCACCCCAGGCACCCAGCUCUCCUCCACCACCCCCUUACCUCCAUCACACCCCUGGAAGUCCAGCUCUACAUGCUACCUGACCCCUCCACAGUUGGCACCCACGAAGCCCCUGGUGGUCCAGCAGAGGAAAAAGAGAUGGUGCCCUCUCCGAGACGGUGAGAAGGUUGGCUUUGCAGAGACUUUGUUGAAACAGAGGAUAAUGGUAUUACAUUAAAUGCAGUUACAUUUUCUAUGCUAAUUCGUAUCAUACAGACUCUUUGCUCC